rnacentral:rRNA from 1 species
UGGGGAAUAUUGCACAAUGGGCGCAAGCCUGAUGCAGCCAUGCCGCGUGUGUGAAGAAGGCCUUCGGGUUGUAAAGCACUUUCAGCGAGGAGGAAGGCGUUAAGGUUAAUAACCUUGGCGAUUGACGUUACUCGCAGAAGAAGCACCGGCUAACUCCGUGCCAGCAGCCGCGGUAAUACGGAGGGUGCAAGCGUUAAUCGGAAUUACUGGGCGUAAAGCGCACGCAGGCGGUUUGUUAAGUCAGAUGUGAAAUCCCCGAGCUUAACUUGGGAACUGCAUUUGAAACUGGCAAGCUAGAGUCUUGUAGAGGGGGGUAGAAUUCCAGGUGUAGCGGUGAAAUGCGUAGAGAUCUGGAGGAAUACCGGUGGCGAAGGCGGCCCCCCUGGACAAAGACUGACGCUCAGGUGCGAAAGCGUGGGGCAGCAAACAGGAUUAGAUACCCUGGUAGUCCACGCUGUAAACGAUGUCGAUUUGGAGGUUGUGGGCCUGACCCGUGGCUUCCGGAGCUAACGCGUUAAAUCGACCGCCUGGGGAGUACGGCCGCAAGGUUAAA